rnacentral:lncRNA from 1 species
UCACGCCGACUCAUCGUCGGGCCUAUAUGACCGACGCCCGACUCUGCCGACCGACCGACCGACGGCUGCCGUUACCGACCGACCGAGGAUACGUCGGUCGGGCAGACCUUCUCCUCUCUCCCGACCGGCUGCACUAUGGAGUUCGACGCCCGACUCUGGCAACGCGCCCGACUGACUGUCGGAGGGGCCCCGAGUUUCCACCCGACGUCCCUCAAACAGCCGUCGACCUAUAGUCGGUCGGCUCCCCCAGAUGCCGUACGGCUGUCGGAAACUGUCAGCCC